rnacentral:rRNA from 1 species
UACGAAGGGGCGAGCGUUGUUCGGAUUUACUGGGCGUAAAGGGCGCGUAGGCGGCGGGUCAAGUCGAGUGUGAAAGCCCCGGGCUCAACCCUGGGAAUUGCGCUCGAGACUGGUCUGCUUGAGUUCGGGAGAGGAGAGUGGAAUUCCCAGUGGUAGAGGUGAAAUUUCGUAGAUAUUGGGAAAGAACACCGGUGGCGAAGGCGGCU